GGAAAGCUCUGAAGAGCACAGAAGUUCAGCCUCAAUGAGAAAUUUAAUAUCCAGUACUUUCUUUAUGGUAAUUGAAGGAACCAGAAGGCAACGCAAAACGAAAACUAUAGAAACCAGAUCAAGUCUGAAAUGUAAUGUGGUGUCGGAACUAUGACUCCAUCAUAGCCAUUGCAUUUGAAACAAUUUAUGUAUGACUUUCAAUUUGCAGUGGCGUCAAUGAUUGAUAGUUCUUUUGCUUGUUUCGUUGGAUCAGGAGAACCAAAAAAAACAGAAUAUAGAACUAUCAAUAUCCAGAAUUCAUUUUCCUAAAACUAUUUCAGAAGUUUGUCCAGUAUCCUAGGAAAGAGUCGUAAUGCUAGCAGAGAACAGGUCACACGUUGGAAUCAUUGUAGUGAAUGCAAAUUGACAGUUGAAAGACUCGCAAUUUCAAAAUUAUUGUUGUAAUUUCAAGUGGUUGACUUACGUACGGCGUCGUUCAUGAUCUCGAUUGUGUUUAAUAAUAAAAUGUUUCAACCGGUAUGUACAUCGGAAACUGAUGGACAAAAAACGGGAGGAAUCAAAAUAAAAUAAUCAUUUUUAGCUCCACAGAAGUUAAUCCUGUAAUGAUUUCCCUGCAGGUGGGAACUUUAAAGCUCAAAACUUUAUAUUCGUCCUAGAAGAUAAAAUAAAAAGUGGUCGCCUAAAAA
rnacentral:lncRNA from 1 species